GCCCCGGUAGCUCAGCCUGGCUAGAGCGUCUCAUUGGUAAUGAGAAGGUCACGGGCUCAAAAAAGCUGGCAAUUUAUUGUGGCUCUGAGUGUCCCGUCCGGGGCUCCA
rnacentral:tRNA from 1 species